rnacentral:tRNA from 1 species
UGGGUUAAUACUCAAGUUGGUGAAGAGGACACCCUGCUAAGGUGUUAGGUCGGUCUCCGGCGCGAGGGUUCGAGUCCCUCUUAACCCGCCAU